rnacentral:rRNA from 1 species
UGGGGAACCUUGCGCAAUGGGCGAAAGCCUGACGCAGCCAUGCCGCGUGGAUGAUGAAGGUCUUAGGAUUGUAAAAUCCUUUCACCGGUGAAGAUAAUGACUGUAGCCGGAGAAGAAGCCCCGGCUAACUUCGUGCCAGCAGCCGCGGUAAUACGAAGGGGGCUAGCGUUGCUCGGAUUUACUGGGCGUAAAGGGCGCGUAGGCGGACAUUUAAGUCAGGGGUGAAAUCCCGGGGCUCAACCUCGGAACUGCCUUUGAUACUGGAUGUCUUGAGUAUGAGAGAGGUGUGUGGAACUCCGAGUGUAGAGGUGAAAUUCAUAGAUAUUCGGAAGAACACCAGUGGCGAAGGCGACACACUGGCUCAUUACUGACGCUGAGGCGCGAAAGCGUGGGGAGCAAACAGGA